UGUAUGGUUAAGUGACUAAGCGUACACGGUGGAUGCCUGGGCAGUCAGAGGCGAUGAAGGACGUACUAACUUGCGAUAAGCGCAGAUAAGGCAGUAAGAGCCGUUUGAGUCUGCGAUUUCCGAAUGGGGAAACCCAACUGCAUAAGCAGUUACUGUUAACUGAAUACAUAGGUUAACAGAGCAAACCGGGGGAACUGAAACAUCUAAGUACCCCGAGGAGAAGAAAUCAACCGAGAUUCCGGUAGUAGCGGCGAGCGAACCUGGAUUAGCCCUUAAGCACUCGGUGAAGUAGGUGAACAAGCUGGAAAGCUUGGCGAUACAGGGUGAUAGCCCCGUAACCGACGCUUCAUCGAGCGUGAAAUCGAGUAGGGCGGGACAC
rnacentral:rRNA from 1 species